rnacentral:tRNA from 1 species
GAGGGUAUAGCUCAGUGGUAGAGUGCAUGCUUAGAAUGCACGAGGUCCUGGGUUCAAUCCCCCAUACCUCCG